rnacentral:rRNA from 1 species
GGGCGUAAGAGCUCGUAGGCGGUUUGUCGCGUCUGCUGUGAAAGACCGGGGCUCAACUCCGGUUCUGCAGUGGGUACGGGCAGACUAGAGUGCAGUAGGGGAGACUGGAAUUCCUGGUGUAGCGGUGAAAUGCGCAGAUAUCAGGAGGAACACCGAUGGCGAAGGCAGGUCUCUGGGCUGUAACUGACGCUGAGGAGCGAAAGCAUGGGGAGCGAACAGGAUUAGAUACCCUGGUAGUCCAUGCCGUAAACGUUGGGCACUAGGUGUGGGGGACAUUCCACGUUUUCCGCGCCGUAGCUAACGCAUUAAGUGCCCCGCCUGGGGAGUACGGCCGCAAGGCUAAAACUCAAAGGAAUUGACGGGGGCCCGCACAAGCGGCGGAGCAUGCGGAUUAAUUCGAUGCAACGCGAAGAACCUUACCAAGGCUUGACAUGAACCGGAAAGACCUGGAAACAGGUGCCCCGCUUGCGGUCGGUUUACAGGUGGUGCAUGGUUGUCGUCAGCUCGUGUCGUGAGAUGUUGGGUUAAGUCCCGCAACGAGCGCAACCCUCGUUCUAUGUUGCCAGCGCGUUAUGGCGGGGACUCAUAGGAGACUGCCGGGGUCAACUCGGAGGAAGGUGGGGACGACGUCAAAUCAUCAUGCCCCUUAUGUCUUGGGCUUCACGCAUGCUACAAUGGCCGGUACAAAGGGUUGCGAUACUGUGAGGUGGAGCUAAUCCCAAAAAGCCGGUCUC